rnacentral:lncRNA from 1 species
ACACCCAAAAACCCUAAUAACUCUUUAAACUCUAUCUCUAACCUAGGAACAAGGGGCUUCUUCUUCACACCCCUCUACUUCAAAGUAGCCAAAGGAACCCUAAAUUUCUGGCUGUCGUUUACCCACUGGAGAAGCCAACCACCGUUCACCUUUCUUCUUCAACACCCCUCCCAGCCGCCGCUCCCACCUGCCACCCACAAACGACCCUCCCCCACCUCAUCUCCAGCCACCAAAUCGCUAGAAAGCCGGCAACCACCAACUCCAUCACAUUCCAUUGAGAUUGAGUUUCGAAUUCAUCGUAGGUUCCGGUCGAGGUUCCCUGCUUUUCUUUGGUAAUUCUGUUUGAAAUCCUCUGCUGCCAAUUCAUUCAAUUUGGCUCGAUUCACUUGAUGUAAUUGCUAAAACUCUAUUAAUUGAAAGCUCACCUUAGGAGGUGUUAAUUUUUGGGAUUUACAAGUGAUGUUGGAAUUUGUUCUGUGAUUGUUAAUAAAGCGUGAGGCCGUCAUACAAUUGCUUGUGAUUUUCAUGAAUAGAUCCUGUUUGUUCGUGUUAUGUUUAAACCGAAAUUGAGCUUAGCAAUCUUCUCUAAUAUCUCAUGUUCGUCCUCAACUCAAUUUAUUUAGUUUUAAAGUUCUGUAGUUCCAUGGGUCUAAUCGUCCAGUUGAGAGGUUUAAUAAGCUGCCGAUGAGUUCAUUCAUGGCUUUGAUGGAUAAUCUGUGACUUACCUUUGAAUUUUGUUUCGUUUGAUCGUCGAUUUGUCGUCGGCACGAGGUUCUGUUCGAGAUUCUGUCAUGUUUGUGUCCCUGUUAGCUUCUUUGGUCGCUGCUCAAUUAAAGGUCUAUUCCUCACUUUGUUUCUUCUUAGUUUUCAGAUUUCAAAUUGUUUUUGUGUAACGGAACAUUUGUUUGGUUGUUUGUUUGCUCUUUGAUCUUAAGUGAAAUUCUUUUGUUUGGCCUAAACUUUGAUGAGAUUAAACUACCAGUCAGUUUAAUUGACCUUCUUGCUAAAAAUAUUGGGGCAUGAUCGUUGAUUUUACUCUUUAAAUGUUUGGAGUCUUUGUUGCAUUUGUUCGUUCUAAAGUUUGAUGUUUAGCCUCGUAGAUGUGUGAUUAGUUUGGUUAUUAGUAAAUUGCUCAACAAAGUUGUAUUGAUUGAAUAAUAUUUGGUUAGUAUAUGAUAGUUAGUUUAGGGUUCAGAGUUGUUAUUAACAAUUAGUAAUAUCCAGGCAAAUGGUAGAACUAAAGUCUUUUUCUAGCAACAAUCAGUUGUCAAAAUUAUCUUAAACUUCAAAUGGACAAUAUCACGAUUGCUUCUCUUUUUCUAUUAUUUCAUUGUGCAAUAUUCUAUCUUAUAUGCAUGUUUGGAUGUUUUCCUUUAUAGGUUAAUUAAUUUUGCUGGUAUGGUUCAUACUUAUUUUGGAUAGUUUUAGAUCAUGCGGCGGGAUGCAGGUAUAAAAUGAAAGGAAUCAAUUUGAUUUUCCAUCAGUUUUAUUUCAUUGUUUCUCCGCUAGUAGCAUGUUUUAGGUCGAUCACAUUCGGGUAGGCAAACUUUAGGCUUUUCUUUUCUUUUAUUCGAGGUGAGUGGUCGUUUAUUUUAGUUUAUACUCGGGGGAAUGCCAUGUAGACUUUGUAAAUAUUUUUAUCCGGGGAAUGCCCCGUAGUGAAUAUAAAAGGAGGCCGAAGCAUCAUAGAUGGAGCAUUAGCCUAGCAUAAUAUAGAACUUUUAGUACUUUUAUUCUUUAUUUUCCUUUAUUUAGGUGGGGAUGACCUCGAGCCUUUUGUGCGUUUAUUUUCUUUUGUGUGUUCUUGCCUCAGUUUAAAUAUUCCUAAAAGCCAACUUGAUCAUGUACGCAACCGUACUAGUUACGGAACUCGGGAAAUGCCUAACACCUUCUCCCCGAGUCAAAUGAACCCCCUUACUUAGAACUAUGGUGCAGACUUAGUUUGGAGUCUAAAGCUUUUUAAAAGGAAAAAUUCUUUCUAAAAACGGUGACCUGACACACCGAAAUCAAAUGUUAGGUGGCGACUCUGAAAGUCUUUUUGAACACAAAUCUUUGUCACUUUCUAAUUGAAAAACCUUUUUGAACUUUACAAAAUCUUUUUAUAUAUUUUAAGAGGGUUAAGUGAGGUAAAAAAAGGGUAUAAAAUUUUGGCGACUCUGCUGGGGAGUUGUAGGUUCGAGCUGAUACUUGAUCUUGUUGGCUUUUAGGAUAUUUGGUUGAGGUAUUGUUUUCUUUAUUUUCUUUGUUUAUUUGGUUUGUUUGUCUUAUUUCCUGUUUUGCUGGUUAUUAAUUUAUUGUUUUUCUUAUGUGUUUACCGCUUUAUAAUUGUCAUCAUUUGCAUAAACAUGGGUGUUCUUUCUGCAACAAGUCUUCCGGGGUACGUUUAAGCAUACACGCCCUUUUGUAAGUCACCCGUGUCUUUAGGGGGUGGCAUGGGAGCUUGGAGUGGGCAAAUAGCUAGAGCAGCUACCAUCGACCAUGUGCCGCCCUGAAUUGCCCUAUCUAGUGAACCCUAAACUUAGGUUAGCCUUUAGGUCAUGCUUAUUUGCAUCAUUUCAUUUACACUUUCCAGGGCUCGGUCCCAUGCACCGUGUCCCUUUAUAGGAGGCCUAUCCAAAUUAUGUCAAAAUGGGCCCAUAACCCAAAAAGACAAUUUAGUCAUCCAUAUGUUCAACAUGCUGCAUUCUUUAAGGGUAAAAGGGUCAUUCGGCCGGCCAAUGAUGGUUGAGGGUGAAUGAGAAAGGAAAAAGGGUGAAGUAUAAAGAUGAAGCAAGUAGGGCCCAGUUAUAUUUUUCUUUCACAACUUUUUCAAGAAAAAACCCCCAAAAAUGUGAAAAUGAAAAAUCCAAAAAGAUUUUGCGCUUUCCCAUCAUUUUCCAAAAAAGAGAAAAAGAAAAUCCAAAAAUAUUUUAUAUGUUUCAUCAUUUUUCAAAAAAUAAAAAGACAAAAAUGUGUUCUCUUCACAUCAGUGUUUUUUAAAAUUAUCUCCUGUGUCCAAUCUUUCCGAACUACGCAUACCUGAUUCUCAUCUUUUGGGGCAUGAUAUAUAGACAUCCCACAUAGGGUCCGGUCUUCCUAGUGAGUCUUAGGUUCUUGGCUUCGAGGUCAUAACCAAAUCUUGCAUGUUUAGCCACAUUUGGCCAUAUCGAUCAUUUUUGCAGAAUAGGGCUAUUUUCUCAAAGUAGUUUGUUAUCCCAUGUCUCAGAGCCCUGAGCUAUAACAAUGUGUCUUCUUAGUUCUAAGAUCCAUUCCUGUUUAAUUUGUAUGUCUUGCCACUUUUAGCCACAUCGGCCAUUCUUGCAAAAUGGGGUCAUUUUUGCAAAAGUGGUUCAAUGAACCAUGUCUUAGGAUCUUGAGACCACAACUAGGUGUCAUAUUAGUUUAAGGUCCGUCCUUUUUGAGUUUGUAUCUUUAGCCACUUCUGGCCAUAUCGGUCGUUUUUGCAAAAUGGGUCAUUUCUUCAAAUUAAUUUUGGGCCAUGAUUAUUGGGAGUUUGAAUUCAUAUAAGCCUUAGUGCGGUAUUUCCAUGUCUUUGAGGUCACUUUUGUUGAGUUUGCGCAAAUAGUCAUCCUUGGCCACAUAGGUCAUUUCGCAAAAUAUAGCCUCAAUCAUGUCUUGCAUGUGUCCAAUAAGAGGUGCUUCCUUUAGUGCUAAUGUUGAACUUUCAACAUUGUGUCAUUGCCACUAUUAGAAAGCAUGCUUGUAGGAUCCAACUAAGCAAUUCUGAAUAUUCUCCUGUAGUUGCCCCUUCCAAUUACUGCAUAAAUCACUUAGAUAUCAUGUCUAUAGGUUUAAUCGCUUACAACCCAUAAUUAGCAGGCAACUACGUAGUCACUUAGAAAUCGUAUUAAAAAUGGCUUUGCACAUGAAACUGUUUGCGCAUUCAAAAUCCAGAAUCAUAUAGAAAUCAUGUCUAUAGGUUCAAUGACUUCAACUCGUCUCUGCCUAGCUUAUUGCGUGCAUUUGUUGCCUAAUUGUGGAGGCUAGCUUGAGCCCUUAUUUUUUUAUACAUGGAAGUCCAACUUGUUUUGUAUGUCACCUUGUUUUCUCAUUUUGAGCAACCUAAGUUAAGUCUAGAACCACCCAAGGGAGAGGUCCAAACGCCUCCUAGACUAUAGGGACGGGACGGGUAGUGCACAGACAAGGCAUGGUUUAGAAUCAACUAGAGUACUUUAGGUAACAACUUAAAGAUAGUAAUCGGGUAGCAGGAGAUGGUAGUCUGUGCCCGCUGAAUAAUACGAGCAACACCUCAUCUUGAGGGAGUUACGUAGUAUUACUUAUGUUGCACGAGGUGAUCCUUUAGGCUAAAAAGUUUUGGACCCCCCUCCCCCACCAUCUUAUCUUUAAAUCAAUUAUUUAUAAACUUCCCAAACUCCUUAUUUUCUUGUCCUUGAUCACAUGGACAUUCAUAUAAUUUGAGUUCGGUCGAGACUCACAGUUGUGGACCUCGAAGAGUGCCUAACACCUUCUCUUCUCGGUAAUUUUGAGUCGUUACCCAAUAUUUGGUGACACAAACUGGUUAAGCCUAAGUUAUUUGCAAAUAAGUGCCCUAACGCAUCUUAAACUCGUUAGGUGGUGACUCUCUCUUUUAACACCCCUCCUUAAAAGAUCUGUCACGUGUCGAAUCCAGAUUUCGCAAGAAAAAGGGGCGCAAUAGUCCCCGGGCCCGAGGACACCAUUACUACUCAUGUGGAGGGGUACUUAAGUGUUUACACUUACCCCUUCACACUGCGCCCGGUAGACCUGAUUGUUCUAGAUUUUUGCAAGAGGUACAAGGUGUGCCUCGGGAAAAUCCAUCCAUCUAUAUGGAGGAUUGUGAUCCUCCUUCGCUACUUCAUGAACAACACCGAGUCUUGUCGGUUCACCAUCUAUUAUUUACUCCGUCUAUACACUCCCUGAAUUUUCCGGGGGUGACUGAUCAGGCUUACCUGCCAGGCCAGCAAGGCCCCCUUUUCGAGCAUUGACAAAGAUCGAGACCGGGCUGGCAGAGGACACUUCAUUCGGGUGAAGACCGAAGACUUUAUUCCCCCCGAGUUCAUGCCUUUUCCUAAGAAGUGGAAUGUAUCUCAUACGUGCAGUCUUUCAAAAAAAAUUGUUUUUUUAUUUCUUUCUUCUUAUUCAUACUUGUGGUUGUGCAGCCAUCGCCUUGGUUCCAAAUGCAGUCCCCCGGCUAAAGGAAUGUAUCGAGGCUAUUUAUACACAGAUGGCAUUGCCAAGCGUGCAUGGGGUGGGCUUUUGAUGGGCCAAUGGGAAGCCCAUUCUCAUGGUAAGGCCUCUCUCUAAACAGUUAAUACCAUGAUUCUAACUUUUAUCAUACUAACUUUUCUUUCCCUUUAUUAUUGUAGGUUUGACUAAGACCACAGAACUUAGGCCUUUAGAAGGGGACGAGGAUGUGUCCUUGUCCAUUGAUCCCUUCAUUGCGGGACAACCCAGGGCUGCUAUGGAGGAAAAGAAUAAAAGGA